rnacentral:rRNA from 1 species
AACGAACGCUGGCGGCAGGCUUAACACAUGCAAGUCGAGCGAGACCUUCGGGUCUAGCGGCGGACGGGUGAGUAACGCGUGGGAACGUGCCCUUCUCUACGGAAUAGCCCCGGGAAACUGGGAGUAAUACCGUAUACGCCCUUGGGGGGAAAGAUUUAUCGGAGAAGGAUCGGCCCGCGUUGGAUUAGGUAGUUGGUGGGGUAAUGGCCCACCAAGCCGACGAUCCAUAGCUGGUGUGAGAGGAUGAUCAGCCACACUGGGACUGAGACACGGCCCAGCCUCCUACUGGACGCAUCCUUUCCUCCUCUUCUCACCUGGGGGCAACCCUGCUCUCUCCCUCCCGCGUUAGUGAUGAAGGCCUUAUGCUUCUCCCUCUCUUUCAGCUGGGAAUCUCCUGACGGUACCAGCAGAACACGCCCCGGCUAACUCCGUG